CUACGUGCCAGCAGCCGCGGUAAUACGUAGGUGGCGAGCGUUGUCCGGAAUCAUUGGGCGUAAAGGGAGCGCAGGCGGGCAUGUAAGUCUUUCUUAAAAGUGCGGGGCUCAACCCCGUGAUGGGAAAGAAACUAUAUGUCUUGAGUACAGGAGAGGAAAGCGGAAUUCCCAGUGUAGCGGUGAAAUGCGUAGAUAUUGGGAGGAACACCAGUGGCGAAGGCGGCUUUCUGGACUGCAACUGACGCUGAGGAGCGAAAGCGUGGGGAGCGAACAGGAUUAGAUACCCUGGUAGUCCACGCUGUAAACGUUGGGCACUAGGUGUGGGGGCCACCCGUGGUUUYUGCGCCGUAGCUAACGCUUUAAGUGCCCCGCCUGGGGAGUACGGCCGCAAGGCUAAAACUCAAAGGAAUUGACGGGGGCCCGCACAAGCGGCGGAGCAUGCGGAUUAAUUCGAUGCAACGCGAAGAACCUUACCAAGGCUUGACAUGC
rnacentral:rRNA from 1 species